AACGAACGCUGGCGGCAGGCCUAACACAUGCAAGUCGAGCGAAGCCUUCGGGCUUAGCGGCGGACGGGUGAGUAACGCGUGGGAACGUGCCCUUUGGUACGGAAUAGCCCCGGGAAACUGGGAGUAAUACCGUAUGUGGUCGAGAGACGAAAGAUUUAUCGCCAAAGGAUCGGCCCGCGUUGGAUUAGGUAGUUGGUGGGGUAAUGGCCUACCAAGCCGACGAUCCAUAGCUGGUUUGAGAGGAUGAUCAGCCACACUGGGACUGAGACACGGCCCAGACUCCUACGGGAGGCAGCAGUGCGGAAUCUUAGACAAUGGGGAAACCCUGAUCUAGCCAUGUCGCGUGAUCGAUGAAGGCCUUAGGGUUGUAAAGAUCUUUCAGUGGGGAAGAUAAUGACUGUACCCACAGAAGAAGCCCCGGCUAACUCCGUGCCAGCCGCCGCAGUAACAC
rnacentral:rRNA from 1 species